ACGCUCGACACCUACGGGAGGCAGCAGUUAGGAAUAUUCGUCAAUGGGGGAAACCCUGAACGAGCAAUGCCGCGUGUGUGAUGAAGGCCCUCUGGGUUGUAAAACACUGUUGUUUGGAAAGAAUUGUAUAAGUAGGAAAUGACUUAUACUUGACGGUACCAUUCAAGAAAGCCACGGCUAACUACGUGCCUGCAGCCGCGGUAAUCUGAGCGGGCUGGCAAGGC
rnacentral:rRNA from 1 species